CUUGAAAUUCAGGUUACUGAGAGGAGGGCAGGUAAAUUUGCAUGAGAAACUAAAGGCUUUUUAAGAGAAAGACUGGGAGCCCAAACCCUUUCUUCAAGAUUCAAAGUUAUGGAAAGCUGCCAAGGUGGGCAGACCUGGCCCACCCAAAGGCCAGUGUCAAGGAAAAGCACCUAAAGUGGAUUUACGACUGGAGUGGAAAGAAAGAAGAUCGGUGAGUAGGACCCUACAACGAGUAUGAUGGUGGAAGGAAGACAACUUUGGGCCUGUGGUAUAGGUGCACUGGAGCCUCUCCCAACACAACACAACCUCUCCCAGGGGCAGGGGCUGCAUGAGAACAUGCAAGGAGCCACGGGGGCAUUGGAGGGCUAAGCUCAGUUCUGAUGUGAAAAUGCACUUGAUGAAGGAGCGCAGUAACUUUGUCCAGGACUCGUGGCCACACCAGUGCCGGUGGCCAAGACCAGAGAGGAGGCUGAUCCUCUGCACAGUCGGGAAUUCUGGUGUCUGGCAGUUGAUGACCAGAUUUAGCUGAUGCAUCAAGAGCAAGCAAAGGGCUCCUUAGUCUUGUGCAGAGUCAGCUGAGGGACCACCUUUCUGCACUGCUGCAUUCUGUUGAGAAGCAUCUAUUUUCUGGUGGGACUGGUAAUGCCUUUCAACUGCACGGCUCAUGUCUGAUUUCCAGUUCCCUUUGAACAGCCACAAGAAGCAUCCUCGGGACUUCAUGAGGUGGUGGACCAUGGAGAGGAAAGAAUGUUCUCCAGAUCAACGCGUUGAAGAGAUGAGAGGAUGCACCCUACUGCUAUGCCCAGACUACCGAAUGGGACGUGUUGGCUGCACAACUCAAGAUUAUUUCCAAUUAAUACCAUCACAGAUGAUUGAGAAAGGAAGGAAAUAAAAUUGAACCAGGAAGACAAAUAUCAAUCACAAAUUAUGUAAGAAUCUGAGCCAACAGAUAAGAAAAUCAACUAUAUCAUAAAAGCAUAAACUCAAGCACAGAGCUGUCAUGAACUAAUGCACGGCGAUCAUAAACGAGUUCCAAGACUGUAGUAAAUCAUUGCCCCGUGAUGGACUUUGGCUUCCUCAUCUCUAAAUUAUGGUGUUGGGUGCAGUCUCUAAGCUCCCUUCUAUCUCUGAUUCCAUGAGUCAGUAUUUAAGACCUCCCUUCACGUAGCAAAAUAAACAUAUCAACCAUGUUUCUGAGACCA
rnacentral:lncRNA from 1 species